GAAAAAUAGAUAACAUAAAUAGAAAAAUCAACCUAGAAAUAACUUAACCAGUUCUAGUUGUAUUUUACGAGUUAUUCAUUGAAAUCGUAGACAAAUUAUUUAAAAAUGUUUUAAAUAUGACGUAUGGGUUAUUCAUAUUUGAUUCUUAUAUAUAUGUUUAAAUAUAUACAAGAUAACUACACACUAAAUAGAAUAAAGAGGGAAAAAACAAACCCUACAUAACCCGUAACUAUUAAAAAACAUAGAAAAAUAGAUAACAUAAAUAGAAAAAUCAACUUAGAAAUAACUUAACCAGUACUAGUUGUAUUUUACGAGUUAUUCAUUGAAAUCGUAGACAAAUUGUUUGAAUAUGUUUUAAAUAUGACGUAUGGGUUAUUUAUAUUUGAUUCUUAUAUAUAUGUUUAUAUAUAUACAAGAUACUGACACAUAAAGUAGAAUAAAGAGGGAAAAAACAAACCCUACAUAACACGUAACUAUUAAAAAACACAGAAAAAGAGAUACCAUAAAUAGAAAAAUCAUCCUAAAAAUAACUUAACUAGUUGUAGUUGUAUUUUACGAGUUAUUCAUUGAAAUCGUAGACAAAUUGUUUAAAAAUGUUUUAAAUAUGAUCUAUGGGUUAUUCAUAUUUGAUUGUUAUAUAUACGUUUAUAUAUAUAUACAAGAUAACGACACACUAAAUAGAAUAAAGAGGGAAAAAACAAACCCUACAUAACACGUAACUAUUA
rnacentral:lncRNA from 1 species